UACGUAGGGGGCAAGCGUUGUCCGGAAUCAUUGGGCGUAAAGAGCGUGUAGGUGGCUCGGUAAGUCCGCUGUGAAAGUCCAGGGCUCAACCCUGGAAAGCCGGUGGAAACUGUCGAGCUCGAGUCCGGAAGAGGCGAGUGGAAUUCCUGGUGUAGCGGUGAAAUGCGCAGAUAUCGUCAAGAACACCGAUAGUGAAGACAGCUUACUAGACUGUAACUGACGCUGAGGCACGAAAGUGUGGGGAUCAAACAGG
rnacentral:rRNA from 1 species